rnacentral:lncRNA from 1 species
CUGAGAUACACUCCAUGUGACUCUGCAUGUGCUGUGCAGCGAUCCACCAAUCGCCUUCGUCCUUAACUCAGUUGCCAAUCAGACUCACUUCUCAGUUGCCAAUCAGACUACCCUGCCAGCUGUCAAUCAAAAUCAGGGAGGAGAAAACCCACCCCUGCACAUGUUCUGCACAUGGAGGGAGACGUGUGUCCACUGAGAAUUACUUUCGGAACUUUACUCAUGACUGUUAAGCUCAACAAAUAAGAACUGUAUGGGUUUUAAAUUGUACAUUUCCGUGGACCACUCUACUAUAAGCAGUGCGCGUUUUGCGAGGUGCAUGCAAUUCUCGGAGGACAUGCGUUUCUCGGCACAACACCGCUAACAACAACAACAACGAUCGCAAAAUGAACAACGAACAAGCGAAAACCACCGAAAAUGAAGAUUUGUUGCCAAAAAGAAAAAGGAAAGUCAGUUAUCUGGAAUUAUUUCGGUUAAAAGAAGGAUGAUGUCGACCAAAACACGUCUUCUGUGUUCACCUGUUGCCACAAUAACGUCCCAGCACAAUAAAAGCUAAAAAUAUCUCUGAGACAGACAGAAGCCGUUCUACUAACAUUCACAAAAAGAGGUAAGAUCAGAGCAGAUUAACUGUCCUCAAGAUUUCAGCAGUGCAGCAUAACAUUAAG